GUUAUGGUUAUGGCCGGCGUCACUGUGCUUCUGUUCGUGGUACAACUUGAGGCGUUAUACUCCUUAUUGUACCCUCUGAGGACCUCCGAUUAAUUAGGUGUUGCAUUGAAGGAAUUAAAGACCCUUGGGAAAUUGAGCAGCGCCAUCAUAAAUGAAAAUGAUUCCUGCUGACUGAGACAGAGCUGCCAUUGUAGAACAAUGAACACUAUACCACCACUACCACAGCACCACCACAACACCACCACAUAUGGCAAGAUGAGUAAUGACUAAACCCUUGAGAAAUUAACAACUGGAGCAUGGAGACACUGCUGUUACAGGUAUGUCUUUAUGUCUGUGUUUUUCUCUAUGCAGUAUCUUUCUAUAUCUCAAAUUUUCCAGGUAUGUCUAACUGUCUAUCUUUGUUUAUCUGUAUCUAUAUCUUUCUGUCAGUCUUUUAAUGCCUGUAUGUCAGUCAGUCUGUCUGUUUGGUAUCUGUAUCAUCUGUCAGACUGUCUUUAUCUAUACAAGUAUCUGUGGAAGGUGAGUAUACAAGAGGUACAGUGAGUGAGGAAGGUGGGCACGCAAGAGGUACAGUGAAUGAGGGUGGUGGGUAUACAAGAGGUACAGUGAGUGUGAAAAGUGGGUACACAUGAGGUGCAGUGGAGUGGAUGGCAGAAUGCAGGAUGUUGCUGACUGUAAGUGUUGUGUCCACGGCAAGACUGAAGAAACAGAAACUCAACACUGAAAAAUAUCCCUGGACUGUGUGGAUGAGUUCUGCAGCCUGGAUGAUGUGAUCAGUGCUGGAGGGGGUGUUGAAGGCUGCUGAGUUGUGAGUCAUGGGUGAGUUCUGCUGCCUGAGUGACAUGAUCAGUACUGGAAAGGGUGCUGAAGGCUACUGUGUUGUAAGUUAUGGGUGAGUUCUGCUGCCUGAGUGACAUGAUCAGUACUGGAAAGGGUGCUGAAGGCUGCUGAGUUGUGAGUCAUGGGUGAGUUCUGCUGCCUGAGUGACAUGAUCAGUACUGGAAAGGGUGCUGAAGGCUGCUGUGUUGUGAGUCAUGGGUGAGUUCUGCUGCCUGGGUGACAUGAUCAGUGCUGGAGGGGGUGCUGAAGGCUACUGUGUUGUGAGUUAUGGGUGAGUUCUGCUGCUUGAGUGACAUGAUCAGUGCUGGAGAGGGUGCUAAAGGCUGCUGUGUUGUGAGUCAUGGUUGAGUUCUGCUGCCUGGGUGACAUGAUCAAUGCUGGAUAGGGUGCUGUUCAUUUUCAAGAGUCAUAAAUGGCUGGAGGAAGUUUAGGGAACUCUUGUCUUUAAUGUCAGCACGAGGACUUUCCCAUCACAUGAAAGGAAGAAUGUUCAGUAUACAACUGGUGUGAGAAGUGUGGUGUUAUAUAUCUGUGAAACAUGGGCAGUUAAAAAAGAUGACAUAUGCAGUCUUGAGUGAGCUGAAAUGAGAAUGGCGAGGUGGAUGUGUACUGUGACGCUGAAAGAUGAGAAUCACCGUUCAGAGCUAAGAGGACGGCUGGUUAUUGAGAGUAUCGGCCAAGAUUUACGGAUAAGUAGAACGAGAUUGGGAGUGCGGGUAGAAUGGAUGAGACCAGCUGGGUUAAGUGGUGUAUGAUUCUAAAUGUGGUGAGGAGGAGAGCCAGUGGUACGUGGCCAAGAAUGACAUGGGGAGAGAUUGUAAGAAAUGAUCGUAGAACCUGACAAGACAGACUGCAAUAGAUGGUUUGGAAAAUGGCUGUAUGAUUUGGAUGGUGAUGAUGAUUUUGUUCUAUCUUUCUGUCUAACUUUCAGGCUAUCUAUCUAUCUAUCUAUCUAUCUAUCUAUCUAUACUACUGUACUGUAUUUCUCACCAUAUUAAAGGCAACCACAGAUAUAGCAUGAAAGGUUUAUAGUCUCAAGAAAGUUCACCUAAACUAAACUUUCAUAAAAGGAACAAAUAUUUAAAUGACAAAAAUUGCAAUGUGUUCCAUAACCUGUAUAGUACAGUUGACCCUCACCAACCGAGGAUUUCCCAUCCAGGGAUUCCGGAUAUUCGUGGUUUUUACUCUACAAACCAUUUUACACAUCCACGGCAUUGAAUUUGGAGAAGUGUGGCGUCUUUAUCCCCUUGCGGUCUAAUGUAUUCCUCCGUAAAUGUGAGGAACGAAUAAAAAUAAUAAUAAUAAAUAAGAGGAAGGAAAAAAUACUGCAUGCCAUUUGACAACUGUUUCACUGAAGAUGUGGGAGACAGGCAUGUGCUCCCCCCUCGUGGGCUGACUCCUGCCGACGUAAUAAAAGUUUAUUGUGUGUUUUUUUACCUUUUGAUAAUCAUUUUUUGACUAAGUCUAAGAAAGCUUGUGUGUGCAUGUAACUGCUAAAAAAGUGAAUAAAACUACAUAUAUCUACCCAAAACUACGAGUUGAAAAAUAACAAUAACACAGCUUGGCCUGGUGUAUAUGUAUACAGUUACAUAUAUAUGAUGUAGGGUGAAUUAUGGAGACAUUUGUUAGGUUGAAAAUAUGUCUUAUAUGGUGGGAAAUAUGGUAUAUCUCUCUACAUCUUUCUGUCCAUCUGUCUACAGUAUAUCUCUUAAAUGUACUGUAGACAGAACUACUGUACUA
rnacentral:lncRNA from 1 species